UAAAAAUAAUCCAGCCAAUAAAAAAACUAAAAGAUUUUAUUCUUUCAGAUAAGGCAAUGAAACAGGUAAUAAAUAGUGACUUACUUUUCCCUCGCAGUGGUGAUGCAAUCCUUUUCCAGGCCAGACUGUGUCAGAAUAUGCAUGAGUGUUUCUCUGGAAGAAUUUUUGUAAACAGUUCCUAAGAAAUUGCAGAGGUAUGGCCGGUUGGAGGUAAUUAACUGGGCAUUCGGCCUGAUCAUUGGAAACUGUCUGUAUCUGUACAGAGACAAAAUCGUGGCAUUAUAUUAGACAGCGUUACUAAUUCAAAGAGGAAACAUGACACAUACACACAAAUUAGACAAUAAGCGAGGACAUACGUAGCAACACCAAGAGGCCACUGAAAGACAUCCUUGUCAUUGACCCAGGGGCUAUCAUACACUACAAAAAGGAGGUCCACAAAGCCACCAUUUCUCUUCAGAUGUGGGCUGAUCCAGUUGUUGUUGCAGUGCUCAUUGCCCAGCAGAACCACAGCAACGUGAGACACUGUAUUGGACUGAACCAGAGUUUGGACGUGCUCCAGCCACCGUGUGGAAGUUGUAGUCCACCUGUUCAUCCUCCCACGGAUUCCACUCAUCAGCAACGUAUGGAGCACCGCCAUCCCUUACACCACCUACAAACCCAACACACCGUUAUCUAUUCAAUUUUCUUUCCACGCGAAAUUAAAUAAAUAUCAUUUUUAA